rnacentral:other from 1 species
UUACCUCUGCCCUGUUCGUGGCAGUAUGUUUUUAUUGAACCUACAAGUUCAGACGCGGGAGCCCGGUUUUUGGAUGUCUAUGUUAUGUCCUUCAUUGAGGGAUAGGCAGAAAUAUCCAAUAGGGCACCCACCUAAAAUAAGGGUUCUGGAUGACUUCUGACACGGCAAUGGCGGAGGUUUU